UGAUGGUUCAGUGACGUCAAGUGAAAAUAGCCAGGGCCUGAUUCGUGGUGAAUGCACUGAUGUACGGAAGUUCUAAGCGGCCAUGCAUUAUAAUUUUUUUUCUUUUUGUUUUCUCGUUAUAACGACUUAAUUUUCUCGUUAUCUCGACAUAACGAAGGUCGUUUUCUCGUUAUAACGACUUAAUUUUCUCGUUAUCUCGACAUAACGAAGGUCGUUUUCUCGUUAUAACGAUUUAAUUUUCUCUAAGAAUUUACAAAACUGCGCCAGCAGGUGGCACUAUAGACCUGAAUAUAACUGAUGGGGUGUUGUAUACUAUCCACUUUACUGUACGCGGACCUUCCUCGUGAUCGCUAUAAUUUGUGCAGUUUUGAGCAAAAUUUGCUGAAAUAUAGGCUACAGUAAGAGCGCCUGUCCAUCAGAUGCCUGCCAAGUUGAGUUCGUUACUAUAGCAACAGUAAAACUUUCAUGUCGUUAUAACGAGAAAACAAACUUUCGUUAUGUCGAGAUAACGAGAAAAUUAAGUCGUUAUAACGAGAAAACAAAAAGGAAAAAAAUUAUAAUGGAUGGCCGCUUAGAACUUCCGUACUGAUGUAAUAUAUUUUGACAUAUCAACCUUGACUCAAAAUGCAUGUGAAAACCGAAACAACUCAUACAACAAUGUGUAUAUACUGUAUAUAUAGGCAUAAUAUAUUAUAUAAAUUAGAACUUAGAACUUUCUGACUUGUGCUGUGAUGAAUAGUUUGUGUAGGGAGACCACAGCUGUCACAAUAACUACAGUGAAUUUUUCCAGUUUUUGUAUAGACAUGGCAUAAAGCUUUGACAACCAUAAAAAAAUAAAAUAAAAAUGUAACAAUUCCAGCCUUAUUACCAAUGGAAAUAUAGUGAAUUUUAACUAUUCGUAUGCUUUACAUAAAAUUAAAUUUAUUAAUGCUAGUUAAUUGUGUCAAUUUAGUUGAACUAACAAUCAAGAAUAUGUAUAAAGCAUUUAUUAUUCUUAGUUAAUGUUAACUUUCAACAUUCACUAAUACAUUAUUUAAAAAAAAGUUGCAUCUG
ensembl:lncRNA